UGAACGCUGGCUGCAUGCUUAACACAUGCAAGUCGAACGGCAGCAUGGGAAAGCUUGCUUUCCUGAUGGCGAGUGGCGGACGGGUGAGUAAUGCAUAGGAAUCUGCCCUAUAGCGGGGGACAACUACCGGAAACGGUAGCUAAUACCGCAUAAGCCCUACGGGGGAAAGGCUUCGGCCGCUAUUGGAUGAGCCUAUGUCGGAUUAGCUUGUUGGUGGGGUAAUGGCCUACCAAGGCGACGAUCCGUAGCUGGUCUGAGAGGAUGAUCAGCCACACUGGGACUGAGACACGGCCCAGACUCCUACGGGAGGCAGCAGUGGGGAAUAUUGGACAAUGGGCGGAAGCCUGAUCCAGCAAUGCAGCGUGUGUGAAGAAGGCCUGCGGGUUGUAAAGCACUUUCAGUGGUGAGGAUAAUGACGUUAACCACAGAAGAAGCACCGGCUAACUCC
rnacentral:rRNA from 1 species